UGAGCAAUCUGCCCUUCUCUUCGGAAUAAGCGUGGGAAACCGCGUCUAAUGCCGAAUACGACCUCCUUUCGCAUGAUCGGAGGUGGAAAGCUCCGGCGGAGAAGGAUGAGCUCGCGGCCUAUCAGCUAGUUGGUGUGGGUAACGGCCACCAAGGCGACGACGGGUAGCCGGCCUGAGAGGGUGACCGGCCACACUGGGACUGAGACACGGCCCAGACCUCCGUACGGGAGGCAGCGAGG
rnacentral:rRNA from 1 species